CCAAAAGUGCAACAAUUUUCAAAGUUUGGCUGACAUUUUCAUAUUAUAUCAUGAGCGGAACCUGAAAUUUUCUAGAUUUAGUAUGAAAAUUAUCAGGUUCGGCUGAUAAUUGAUUUUUCUAUGUUAGCAGAACCUGUCAUGUUGCAGACUUUUGCAUGAAAAUUAUCAGGUGUGGGUAUAUGACCAUUUUCCAGAAUUGAACUUGGUCACAAUGGAGAAAAAUUGGGCUAACACACUUCCUACUUCGGAUAAGUAUGAGUUCAGUAACACCAAGAGAGGUAAAAAAAUGAGUUGUUGAUAAAGUUAAGAGAGAUGUCAAACUCCUUGAAUGGCGAAGAUGUCGAAUUUGACCCGUACAAGAAGGAUGAAGCUUGUGAUGAAGAUUAAGAUAGCUAUUGAGAAUGUACUAUGAACCCUUUUUUUAUCCCGAUGGUUUGUAGUGUAUGAUCCUCAUCGAGUAAUCCUUCAAUUAGGAUGUAUCCAAAUGAUUAUGGUACCGAAUGAAGCAAAGUUCAAGUUGUUUCCAAAGGAUCCUAAGGGAACUAAUAGCACCUUGGGUUCCAUGAAUAGCGAAUAUAACCCGAAACUUACCCGUGAUCAUUUGAGGAACUGGAAAAGAACAAGUUGAGUGUUGUCGGCUUAGCCUUUUUGGGAAAUACUUGUACAUAAAAUUAAAAAACAUAAGAAGGAUGACAUCAACAGAGAUAAAUAAGCUAAUAAAAGCGUUAUAAUUAUUGCAAGAGAUGAAAGGUUGUUAUCCCAAUGCUUGGAUUGCUUAUAGAAUUUUUCUUACUGUACAUGUUACCAUUGCCUCUGCAGAAAGAGGUUUUCUAUAUUGAAAUUAAUAAAAUCAUAUCUUCGUUCUAGAAUGCUA